GCCUGACAUGGUGGCACACAUGUCUAGUCUCAGCUCCAACUCUGGAGGUUGGAGUAGGAUGAUGGCUUGAGCCCUGGGCUGUAAUGUGCUGUGCCGAUCAGGUGUCCGCAGUAAGUUCAGCAUCAUUACGGCAAUCUCUCGGGAGCAGAGGACACCAGGUUUCCUAAGGAGGGGUGAAUCUGCCUAGGUGAGAAACAGGCACAGGCCAAAACUCCCAUGCUGAUCAGCAGUGAUAUCACAACUGUGAAAAGCCACUGUACCAGCCUGGGGAACAUAGCACAACUUUGUCUCGU
rfam:Otolemur garnettii contig112054, whole genome shotgun sequence.